rnacentral:rRNA from 1 species
GACAGAGGGCGCGAACGUUGUCCGGAAUUACUGGGCGUAAAGCGCGUGUAGGCUGUUCGGCAAGUCGGGCGUGAAAGCCCUGGGCUCAACCUAGGAAGUGCACUCGAAACUCCCGAACUGGAGUCCCGGAGAGGAAGGCGGAAUUCUCGGUGUAGAGGUGAAAUUCGUAGAUAUCGAGAGGAACAUCGGUGGCGAAGGCGGCCUUCUGGACGGUGACUGACGCUGAGACGCGAAAGCGUGGGGAGCAAACAGG